rnacentral:rRNA from 1 species
AAACUUGAGAGUUUGAUCCUGGCUCAGAACGAACGCUGGCGGCAGGCCUAACACAUGCAAGUCGAACGCUGUAGCAAUACAGAGUGGCAGACGGGUGAGUAACGCGUGGGAACGUACCCUUCGGUCUGGAAUAACCCAGGGAAACUUGGGCUAAUACCGGAUACGUGCGAGAGCAGAAAGAUUUAUCGCCGAAGGAUCGGCCCGCGUCCGAUUAGCUAGUUGGUGAGGUAAAGGCUCACCAAGGCGACGAUCGGUAGCUGGUCUGAGAGGAUGAUCAGCCACACUGGGACUGAGACACGGCCCAGACUCCUACGGGAGGCAGCAGUGGGGAAUAUUGGACAAUGGGCGAAAGCCUGAUCCAGCCAUGCCGCGUGAGUGAUGAAGGCCCUAGGGUUGUAAAGCUCUUUCGCCAGGGACGAUAAUGACGGUACCUGGAUAAGAAGCCC